rnacentral:rRNA from 1 species
GACGAACGCUGGCGGCGUGCUUAACACAUGCAAGUCGAACGGUGAAGCUCCAGCUUGCUGGAGUGGAUCAGUGGCGAACGGGUGAGUAACACGUGAGCAACCUGCCCCUGACUCUGGAAUAAGCGCUGGAAACGGCGUCUAAUACUGGAUACGAGAAGUGCCCGCAUGGGCACUUUCUGUAAAGUUUUUCGGUUGUGGAUGGGCUCGCGGCCUAUCAGCUUGCUGGUGAGGUAAUGGCUCACCAAGGCGACGACGGGUAGCCGGCCUGAGAGGGCGACCGGCCACACUGGGACUGAGACACGGCCCAGACUCCUACGGGAGGCAGUAGUGGGGAAUAUUGCACAAUGGGGGCAAGCCUGAUGCAGCGACGCCGCGUGAGGGAUGACGGCCUUCGGGUUGUAAACCUCUUUCAGCAGGGAAGAAGCGAAAGUGGCGGUACCUGCAGAAGAAGCACCGGCUAACUACGUG